rnacentral:rRNA from 1 species
UACGGGGGGGGCAAGCGUUGUUCGGAAUUACUGGGCGUAAAGCGCGCGUAGGCGGCUUUGCAAGUCGGGUGUGAAAUCCCCAGGCUUAACCUGGGAACUGCAUCCGAGACUGCAUUGCUAGAGUAUGGGAGAGGGAAGUGGAAUUUCAGGUGUAGCGGUGAAAUGCGUAGAUAUCUGAAGGAACAUCAGUGGCGAAAGCGACUUCCUGGACCAAUACUGACGCUCAUGUGCGAAAGCGUGGGGAGCAAACAGG